CUAAGCAUAUCAAUAAGCGGAGGAAAAGAAACCAACAGGGAUUGCCCCCAGUAACGGCGAGUGAAGCGGCAACAGCUCAAAUUUGAAAUCUGGCCCCAGGCCCGAGUUGUAAUUUGCAGAGGAUGCUUUUGGCGCGGUGCCUUCCGAGUUCCCUGGAACGGGACGCCAUAGAGGGUGAGAGCCCCGUACGGUUGGACACCAAGCCUUUGUAAAGCUCCUUCGACGAGUCGAGUAGUUUGGGAAUGCUGCUCUAAAUGGGAGGUACAUUUCUUCUAAAGCUAAAUAUUGGCCAGAGACCGAUAGCGCACAAGUAGAGUGAUCGAAAGAUGAAAAGCACUUUGAAAAGAGGGUUAAACAGCACGUGAAAUUGUUAAAAGGGAAGCGCUUGUGACCAGACUUGCGUCCGGUGAAUCACCCAGCUCUCGCGGCUGGGGCACUUCGCCGGCACAGGCCAGCAUCAGCUUGCCGUCGGGGACAAAAGCUUCAGGAACGUGGCUCCUCUCGGGGAGUGUUAUAGCCUGUUGCAUAAUACCCUUCGGCGGGCUGAGGUACGCGCUCCGCAAGGAUGCUGGCGUAAUGGUCAUCAGCGACCCGUCUUGAAACACGGACCAAGGAGUCAACCUUAUGUGCGAGUGUUUGGGUGUUAAACCCCUACGCGUAAUGAAAGUGAACGCAGGUGAGAGCUUCGGCGCAUCAUCGACCGAUCCUGAUGUUCUCGGAUGGAUUUGAGUAAGAGCAUAUAGGGUUGGACCCGAAAGAAGGUGAACUAUGCGUGUGUAGGGUGAAGCCAGAGGAAACUCUGGUGGAGGCUCGCAGCGGUUCUGACGUGCAAAUCGAUCGUCAAACAUGCGCAUGGGGGGCGAAAGACUAAUCGAACCUUCUAGUAGCUGGUUUCCGCCGAAUU
rnacentral:rRNA from 1 species